rnacentral:lncRNA from 1 species
AGCAUACCACAAAGUCUUGUAGAGACUCUCUAUCUUGCUGCCUAUGGAAAAAAGACUGUCAGAUAUCUAUGACGCCUUCCGAUUGGUACCAAACUAUGCCAAGAAAAGCUGUUCGAGCUAGGUGAAUGAAUGGAUACUCCCCGAUUGAAGUCAAGAGUACCAUGUUCGAGUGAUUUUUCUAAGGAUGAUUGGGAAGGCAAUGCAGAGGAGAGUGUCAGAUGCCCACUGAAGAAGCAUGAGAGCUUUGUAGCUCUUAAGGUGGCUGAGUGGAUCGAUGGAGCCAUCAUAUGGUUCUACCUGCGGCAUCUUGAACUGACCUGAAAUCGGUUUAUCGAGAAUUCAUCGAGAGAAGGGC